rnacentral:lncRNA from 1 species
CUGUUACAGCUGUCCUAGCCAGAAAUUCACAGGGUGAGAUUAUAGGAGCAGAAACUUAUCUUUUUUCUGAUGUUGUGGAUGCGUUUGUGGCUGAAGCAAGGGCUUGCGAAAGGGCGUUAAUCUUUGCGAAGAGGAUGCUUUUCCGACGACUGAUUGUGGAAGGUGAUUCGCUGACAGUUAUCAAUAAUGUUCAAAGGAAGGAGAAGGACAAAUCGGUGCUCAGACCGAUUACACAUCAUAUAUACAUGUUGGGUAUGGCUUUUGAGGAGGUUUCUUACCUUGCAGUGCCUCGAUCGAUUAAUGAAGCGGCUCAUUUACUGGCACUGGAGGGUCAUAGACGAAAGUUCUUUGGAGAUUGGCUCACCGGUGUGCCAGAUUCUGUCCGUGUUGCGGCUUUACAAGAUCGCUUGGCUUGGGACCAACGGAACUGAGUUUCUGUUGUUGUGCUUUGAAAAUGGAAGUGGAUCCUUUGUGGGGCUUGUUCUCUUGUUCUUUCUUAUUCCAGAUGCUGAUGAUGAGGAGAGCUAUGGCUGAUAUUGAGGGUAGGUCAGUGGUUUCUUGGCCUAAGUUUUGGCUUCUGAUGGGUUGGUUCGAUAGUUUCUAGGCAUUUGAUUGUUUGUUUCUUUGUUUCUUUAUUUUGCUCUGUUUUUGUUUUUUCUCUGUUGGUGCUUGCCAACUGUCCAGUUUGUCGGUUCUGUUUUCUUUCUUUUGACGUUUCAGAAGCUGUUGUCAUGAGCUAUUCUUUUAUAUAAUAUCAGUCUAUUUCAUUCAAAAAAAAAAUUAUAAUUACACAA